GUGUCAGCCGCCGCGGUAAUACGGAGGGUGCAAGCGUUGUUCGGAAUUAUUGGGCGUAAAGCGCGUGUAGGCGGCUCGUUAAGUCUGAUGUGAAAGCCCUGGGCUUAACCUGGGAAGUGCAUUGGAAACUGGCGAACUUGAGUAUGGGAGAGGAAAGUGGAAUUCCGAGUGUAGGGGUGAAAUCCGUAGAUAUUCGGAGGAACACCAGUGGCGAAGGCGGCUUUCUGGACCAAUACUGACGCUGAGACGCGAAAGCGUGGGGAGCAAACAGGAUUAGAAACCCGCGUAGUCC
rnacentral:rRNA from 1 species